rnacentral:rRNA from 1 species
AUUGAACGCUAGCGGGAUGCCUUACACAUGCAAGUCGAACGGCAGCACGGACUUCGGUCUGGUGGCGAGUGGCGAACGGGUGAGUAAUGUAUCGGAACGUGCCCAGUAGCGGGGGAUAACUACGCGAAAGCGUAGCUAAUACCGCAUACGCCCUUAGGGGGAAAGCAGGGGAUCGCAAGACCUUGCACUAUUGGAGCGGCCGAUAUCGGAUUAGCUAGUUGGUGAGGUAAUGGCUCACCAAGGCCGCGAUCCGUAGCUGGUUUGAGAGGACGACCAGCCACACUGGGACUGAGACACGGCCCAGACUCCUACGGGAGGCAGCAGUGGGGAAUUUUGGACAAUGGGGGAAACCCUGAUCCAGCCAUCCCGCGUGUGCGAUGAAGGCCUUCGGGUUGUAAAGCACUUUUGGCAGGAAAGAAACGGCGCGUGCUAAUACCAUGCGCAACUGAC